rnacentral:rRNA from 1 species
AGUGAACGCUGGCGGCGUGCCUAAUACAUGCAAGUCGAACGGAGUGGCGCACGGGUGAGUAAUGUAUAGCUAAUCUGCCCUACACUAGAGGAAAACAGUUGGAAACGACUGCUAAUACUCGAUAGUGUAGGAGGGGGCUAUAUUGUAGCAGCUAGUUGGUGAGGUAAUGGCUCACCCAGGCUAUGACGCAUAACUGGUCUGAGAGGGUGGGCAGGUUCACUGGAACUGAGACACGGUCCAGACUCCUACGGGAUGCAGCAGUAGGGAAUAUGGCUCAAUGGGGGAAACCCUGAAGCAGCAACGCCGCGUGGAGGAUGACACUUUUCGGAGCGUAAACUCCUUUUGUUAGGGAAGCGGUACCUAACGAAUAAGCACCGGCUAACUCCGUGCCAGCCGCCGCGGUAAUUC